rnacentral:lncRNA from 1 species
AUUCAGCUUAGUUUACCCAUUAAAAUUAAAGAAAGUCCAAGCCUGGGAUGCUGUUUAGUCUUUUCUUGUGUGUUUGAGCUUGUCACUUGUCAGCAGAUCUGUUGUAAUAAAAUCAAGUUAUCCCCCAGCCGCCAGAUGACGCGAGUGUCUUUAAGAGGACGGCAAAAAUUCGCCAGUUUGUUCCGAAACGCCAAGUUAAAAGGUAUUCCAAAUUCGUUACGGAAUUACGGUGUCGAUCUACAUUUUCAGCAUUGAAAUUUAAUGGCAAUCUGGAAUAUAAUUUCCACUUGGUCUGGUCGAAUAAUGGAUCACGUGGACUGAAACUGCUUUCCAUUUUGCCGAAAUGUCGUCCGUUGUCAGCUCUUAAGCUGUACCUGUUCGGAUGUACGUCUCAUCUCACGCAGAAACACGAAAGAGGACUUGGUGAUACUUAAACUAUGUCUGUGCAGUUCAAUGUGCAGUGGUUUUUCCGCCUGUUUCCAGUUGAGAGAUGUGAUUAUGCAGCUGAUACAGGAUUGAAGAAAAAGAACUGAAGAAGCUGUGCUGGUGUUCUCCUGAAAUUGCUGUGCCACAGGAGUUGCAGAUAGUGUUUGGUUCCACAUAAAAGUUUAUGUAAAGAGACUGGAGAUGAUCAGCCACUUCUGCCUUUUAAUUAUGUAAAAUUUCAAAGUUGUAAGAAAUAUACAAGUCGAGUUCUAAA